UCGAGGAUCUUCGGCAAUGAGCGCAAGCUUGACCGAGCGACGCCGCGUGUGCGAUGAAGGCCUUCGGGUUGUAAAGCACUGUCGAGGGGGAGAAAAGCCGAAAGGUUUGAUCUAUCCCUGGAGGAAGCACGGGCUAAGUUCGUGCCAGCAGCCGCGGUAAGACGAACCGUGCGAACGUUGUUCGGAAUCACUGGGCUUAAAGGGCGCGUAGGCGGGCUGCCAAGUCCGUGGUGAAAUCCUCCGGCUCAACCGGAGAAUGGCCUCGGAUACUGGCGGCCUGGAGGCGGGUAGGGGCAAGCGGAACUGUGGGUGGAGCGGUGAAAUGCGUUGAUAUCCACAGGAACUCCGGUGGCGAAGGCGGCUUGCUGGACCCGAUCUGACGCUGAGGCGCGAAAGCCAGGGGAGCGAACGGGAUUAGAUACCCCUGUAGUCC
rnacentral:rRNA from 1 species